rnacentral:rRNA from 1 species
CCUACGGGAGGCAGCAGUGAGGAAUAUUGGUCAAUGGGCGCUAGCCUGAACCAGCCAAGUAGCGUGAAGGAUGACUGCCCUAUGGGUUGUAAACUUCUUUUAUAUGGGAAUAAAGUGCAGUAUGUAUACUGCUUUGCAUGUACCUUAUGAAUAAGGAUCGGCUAACUCCGUGCCAGCAGCCGCGGUAAUACGGAGGAUCCGAGGGUUAUCCGGAUUUAUUGGGUUUAAAGGGAGCGUAGGCGGGUUGUUAAGUCAGUUGUGAAAGUUUGCGGCUCAACCGUAAAAUUGCAUUUGAUACUGGCAGCCUUGAGUACAGUAGAGGUAGGCGGAAUGCGUGGUGUAGCGGUGAAAUGCUUAGAUAUCACGAAGAACUCCGAUUGCGAAGGCAGCCUGCUGGACUGUAACUGACGCUGAUGCUCGAAAGUGUGGGUAUCAAACAGGAUUAGAUACCCUUGUAGUC